GAUGAAAGAACGUAGCGAAAUGCGAUAAGUAGUGUGAAUUGCAGAAUUCAGUGAAUCAUCGAAUCUUUGAACGCACAUUGCGCCUCCUGGUAUUCCGGGAGGCAUGCCUGUUCGAGCGUCAUUAAAAUCACUCAAGCUUAGGUUUACCUAUUGCUUGGUCUUGGAGAUGGAAGCCAAUUUAUUGGAAUCCUCUUCGAAAUUCAAUGGCGAAGACCCUUGCUCUCCCAAGUGUAGUAAUAACUUAUGUCACUGAAGGAAGCGAGAAAUCUUCUGCCGUAACCCCCAUAUUUUCUAUGAUUGACCUCGGAUCAGGUAGGGAUACCCGCUGAACUUAAGCAUAUCAAUAAGCGGAGGA
rnacentral:misc_RNA from 1 species